rnacentral:rRNA from 1 species
AGAGUUUGAUCCUGGCUCAGGAUGAACGCUAGCUACAGGCUUAACACAUGCAAGUCGAGGGGCAGCAUGUUGGUUGCUUGCAACCAAUGAUGGCGACCGGCGCACGGGUGAGUAACGCGUAUCCAACCUACCCUUGUCCAUCGGAUAACCCGUCGAAAGGCGGCCUAACACGAUAUGCGGUUCUCAGCAGGCAUCUAACGAGAACGAAAUGUGAAGGAGAAGGAUGGGGAUGCGUCUGAUUAGCUUGUUGGCGGGUAACGGCCACAAGGCGACGAUCAGUAGGGGUUCUGGAGAGGAAGGUCCCCCGACAUUGGAACUGAGACACGGUCCAAACUCCUAACGGGAGGCA